AGAACUCAUGGAGGAUGGAUGAGGACCCAGGGAAUUACAGAACAGUCAGCCUAACUUUGACACCUGGAAAGAUGCUGGAAUUAAGCAAACAAUUGAUUUGUAAGCACAGAGAGAAUAACAGGAAAUUAAAGAAAUCUAAUUGCUGUGGAGGAAGUAAUGACUGAAUUUGUGCCAGACUAAUUUCACCUGCUUGCUGAAAGACAAGCUUCUAAUAAUUCUUUUUAAGUUAUGCCAAUACUAAAAUGCACCUGAGGCCUCAUGACAGCAAGAAUACUGCAAGUCUCUUUAUACAGCAAGAGAGAUUUCUACAUUGUACAGAGGACAGCUAGCUUGAAAGGAUGUGAAAGGACAGUGACCCCAAACUAAAUUUGGGGGGAGAUUGAAGUGAUAUUAUUGUGAAAAGGGGGCACACCCUGGGGAAGAGGCAAGAUCUAUGACUGCACCUGAUGGCAUCUGACCUCCAAUAGCCAAUGGAGAAUGAGUAUUGGGGAUGGCAAGAGGGCAGACCUUCACUGCUUAUCCAGGACACCUAAGAAGUGGCUGGGAAUGUCUUCUGUGAUCCUUGAUUAAACACAAAAUUGCACCAGAUGCAGACCUAGUCAGUCCCACCCAUACUUUCAUAACUAACAUGCUGGACUAGUCAACGUGUUCUACCUAGAAUUGACUGCAAAAGCUACAGCCAAUUCCAUCACGUUGCAGUCAGAAUCCUAAAUGGAGGAAACAAACAAAGCAUGUCUUUAUCAACUCCCCAUUUAAAUCCAAAUCCAUUUAAGGGUAUUGGCCCUAAUCUCUAAAAUUCUGGAAGGGAAAAGCAUAAACUCUCCCCAAAUCCAUCUCUUCCUUUGUUACCUGCUGUGAUAGUUAUGAUCAACAGGAAAGGAGAUUACAGCACCUGGAUUACUCCUGCAAGUGUACUUCUGAAAUAACCCCACUCAGCAUACCAGCUAACUCAAGGGAAGGGAGAAGAGUCUGGGAUGUGUACCUGAUGAGUUACAGAUCUUUACACACACACACACACACACACACCCCAACAAAUAUAUUGAUAUUUACUCUCACCAGCAAUUCAUUUUUACCUUUAAGAUUUCAGGCUUAGUUAUUCUCAUAAAACACGUCUGGGUGAAGAGACGAAAGAAAGCCUCCUUCACAAAGUAUGA